GUUGAAACAAACUGAUUUUAAGUAUAGAAGUACUGUUCUACCAUGGACAGUGGUUAGCUAUUCUCCAUUUCCAUAGAAGAGAUCUUCUUCAACAAGGAUUUUGGAUUGGAGAAAAUGAAUAAUUUUCUGAUGGAAUUGGAACAGAGUUGUAAAAACCCUCUGAAGGGCUUUGGAAGGAGUCUGAAGUGGGUGGUCAGGGGAUGUGGUUCACUAAGUGUGGUCCCUGGACCAGAGCAUCAGCAUCACCUGGAAACUUGUUCAAGGUGCAAAUUUUCCAGACUUCCUGUAUCAGAAACUCCUGGGGUGUGGCUCAGCCAUCUGUGGCUUCUGGAAGAAGACCACCCACCAACAGGAAUAAGCACUGGCUUGCUCUGCAUUCUUUCCUCCAAGAGAACUCAAGAACACCUCCCAGAGGCAACCCUGUCUUUCUCCGCUGGGGACUGCUGCCUCCACCUCCAGAUUAGCUGAAGGAUGUGGCUCACAAGGAAAGGAAAGCUGGUUUAGGUUUAGGAGAGGUGGUGCUGGUUUAACCCCUCCCUAGCCUGGGCUUCCUGUUUGGGAGUCAGUAAACAUUCUGAAUGUUGAAGAUA